GACGUGCCGCUUUGCGCAGACAAAUGCCCAGUAGAAUCCCGCUUUGCUCGGAAAGUCACGCCCCCUAAGGGGAGGGCCGCGCGAGUUUUCACCAGGCUCGCCGCAGACAUUUGCCAAGUGCGGGGUCGCCCCGCCCCGGGGGAGGGGCCACCCUAGGCCCCGCCCCCCGCCGGCCGGGCUCCCCGGCGCUCUCCCAAAGCUGGACUUAGGCCGCCUAGUUUCCCGGCGGACUCCGCGGCAUGCGCGCUGUGUGACCUUGGGCCAGCGUGCGCGCUGUGGGGUCUCUGUUUCCACGGGUAAAAUGGGAUGGUGUGGUGCUCUGGCCCUGCCAUCUGGAACCUACUGGAAUCCAUGACCUCUCCGACUUGAGGCCCUCGCGCGCUCUCCCCGCCCCAUCUGUGGGGACUCCCAGAGAGAGAGCAAGCUCGUGGGGGAGAGGAGCAGAGAGGGAGAGAAAGAAGAAAUCUUAAGCAGGCUCCACACCCAGCAUGGGGCUCAAAGGGGAGCUUGACGAUGGGCAGGUCAACCGGGAGAUCCAUCCCAUGACCCUGAGACCAUGACCUGCACCGAAAUCAAGAGGGGGCCGCUCAACCGACGGAGCCAGCCAGGUACCCCGAUGAAGAGAUUAUUUUCAAAGUUUAUUUAUUUAUUUGAGAGAGACAAGGACAGCACAGCCGGGAAAGGAAGAGACGAUGUUUCAAUGAGCGGAAGACACGACAAGUGCAAAGACUAGAGGCCAGGUGGAGCAGGAGAAGGUUUGCUCUGCCAGGGAGGACUGGCCCUGAGGGAGUUCCACAGCCACGAGAACUCAUUAGCUCACAGUGCUGCCUGGAUACUCACUCCAGGGCACGUGAGGCCAACAAGAAAGCACACAGGCACCCAGAUUCUCCCUCAACUGCACACAUGGAGGGAGGCACAAACACCCCACAGCCACAGGCACACCCCCAGGCAUGUACACACAAAUGCACAGACACAGGCGCAGACGCUCACAGGCAGACACGCGCCAGCCGUGUGUUCGGCCACGGCCCAGCCCACGUCCGGCCAGCCUGCUGAUUCUUUGAUCCUUCCCGCCUCGGUUUUCUGGAUCGUCCCAGGAUGAAGAGGGCACGCCCCGCCAUAUGCUCCUGUGGAUCCCUGAACCUCCCUGGAAUGGGUCGUCUUCUUCGUCACUGUCCCUCCGCCCCAGAAGGGGAGGUUCCUGGAACACAAAUAUUGAAGGAAGAAAGGAAAGAGGGAAGGAACAGGGAACGAAUGGAGGGAGGCAGAGACCUAAUCGUGAUAAAGAUGCGACAGUAUGAUGUAAAUAUGCCAGGGCCCAUUCAGGAUUUGUUGGAACCGGUGUUUAUACAAUGGGGGAGGGGAGCUGUUUUUCAACUAGGAAGACCAAAAUGAUGAAUACCGAUGAGAGAAAGAGCCUUGGAAGGGGCCUGUGUAAGUGAGGGCCCUGGUGCUGAACAGGAAGGCUGCACCUGUCAACAUGCUUGAAACAUGGACAUGUUUCUAAUACUAGCAUUCUAACACAUGCAGGAACACAGACACUAGAAGCCUUGAGUCCCAGACACGUAUGCACAUGCACACACACACACACACACACACGUGUGUGCACAGCUCUAGGCUCUGGUUGCUCUCCAGCUGGGCCCUCUGGACACCAGUCUUCAGAGGCCCCUGCAGCCCUCACCUAGAAAUUAGGCCCUGGCCCAGCUGCUUGCACAUCAAAUGAGUGUGUGCUGAUGGACCCACCCCUACGUGUGCACUUUGAUGUUUCAGAGGAGUGGACUCUAUUCCUGCCUCCUCACCUGGAGCCCCAACCCCAUGCCUACCUGCCCGCUAUGAGCUGCCUUCACGCCACAGGGCCAGGGGGACGAGGUGGGCGCUGUCUCCGGAGAGGGGCUUGGCCAACAUUCAGUGAAGCGUCAGCCGCUGGCCCUUAGAGCCAGCAACACCCCCCAGCAUGCCUCCCCAACACAUUCUACUGCCUUUUCCCAAGGAUGGGACACCGAGGCCCAGACAGGGAGGUCGUGGGCCCUGUGCGGGUUCUCUUGGGGAACAGCAGUAUGUGACACGCACACACCCAUCGCAAGCAUUUCUGGAAUGCCAAAGAUUAUAAAAGGUUUUCUUGUUCAAUGCAGGAAAGCAUAAAGCAAACGAAAAUGGCUUGUAAUGCUGCUGUGCAGCUAAUCCCAGUAGCAUUUUAAAAAUAAUGCAGGCACACAUUUAGAAAAUGCAAGCGGUUCCAAAAGAUUACAAAGUGAAAACCCGAACCUUCCUUGCUGUCUCAGUCCCUCUCCCCGGAGAUGAUCACUCUUUGCAUUUCCUUCCCGAAUACGUUGCUAUACUGGCUUUUACUGAAGAAAAGAGGAGGAUCACUCUGCCCACUAUUUCGUGCCUUGCCAGUUUCCCACCUAAAACACAUCUCUGCAGAUCUGUCCACGUCAACAUGGCCCAAUCUGCUGCCUUCUUUUUAAUGGCUGUGCUUUAUUCCAUGGUCUGUGCUCUCUGUCAAGGUGUAUUUAUUCCCAGUUUCUUUGCUCUUAAACACUGUACCUGGAUGUACUAUUAGUAUUUCCGUAGGGCCAGUUAAAGCAGAGGCACUCCAUCAAAGAGUAUGUGCGUUUUUAAUUCUGGUAGAAAUUGCCAAAAUGCCCUCCAAAAGGGUGGCAUUAAUUUGCACUUUUAUCAGCAAUAUACAAAAGAGUCUGUCUCCCUACACUGUUAACAAUUUUGUCAAACAGAGUGAAAAGUCAGAUCUCAGUGUUUCUUAACAGCUUUGCUGAAACAUAAUUCACAUGCUAUACAGUUCACCCGCUUUACGUGUUUACAGUGAGGUGUUUACAGUUGUGUCUCCAUCAGCAUGAUUAAUCGUAGGGCAUUUUCAUCGCUCCAGAAAGAAACCCUGCAGCCAUUAACAGUCACUGCCCAGUUUUCUCCCUCCCUUAGCUUCUAGCAACGGUCAAUCCACUUUCUGCAUCUAUAGAUUUGCCUAUUCUGGACAUUUCAUAAAAAUGAAAUCCUAUGGGGCGCCUGAGUGGCUCAGUGGGUUAAGCGUCUGACUUUGGCUCAGGUCAAGGUCUCACGGUUGGUGGGCUCCAUCCCCGCAUCAAGCCCGGUGUGGAGCCCCACAGCACGGAGGCUGCUUGGGAUUCUCUCUCCUCCCUCCCUCUUCACUCCUCCUCCACUCGCGCUUUUUCUGCCUCUCUCAAAAAUAAAUAAACUUUAAAAAUGAAAUCAUAC